UACGGAGGGGGCUAGCGUUGUUCGGAAUUACUGGGCGUAAAGCGUGCGUAGGCGGUGAUUCAAGUCAGAGGUGAAAGCCUGGUGCUCAACAUCAGAACUGCCUUUGAAACUAGAUCGCUAGAAUUGCGGAGAGGUGAGUGGAAUUCCGAGUGUAGAGGUGAAAUUCGUAGAUAUUCGGAAGAACACCAGUGGCGAAGGCGGCUCACUGGACGCAUAUUGACGCUGAGGUACGAAAGCGUGGGGAGCAAACAGG
rnacentral:rRNA from 1 species